rnacentral:rRNA from 1 species
AGCCUUUGGCAUGUCCCGGACGGUUACCAGAGAUGGUUUCUUCUCUUCGGAGCCGGGAACACAGGUGCUGCAUGGCUGUCGUCAGCUCGUGUCGUGAGAUGUUGGGUUAAGUCCCGCAACGAGCGCAACCUUCGCCCUUAGUUGCCAUCAUUAAGUUGGGCACUCUAGGGGGACUGCCGGUGAUAAGCCGCGAGGAAGGUGAAGAUGACGUCAAGUCCUCAUGGCCCUUACGGGCUGGGCUACACACGUGCUACAAUGGCGGUGACAGUGGGAAGCGAACUCGCGAGGGUAAGCAAAUCUCCAAAAGCCGUCUCAGUUCGGAUUGCACUCUGCAACUCGAGUGCAUGAAGUUGGAAUCGCUAGUAAUCGUGGAUCAGCAUGCCACGGUGAAUACGUUCCC